GACGGAGGGUGCUAGCGUUGUUCGGAAUUACUGGGCGUAAAGGGCGCGUAGGCGGCCUUCUAAGUCGAACGUGAAAUCCCUGGGCUCAACCCAGGAACUGCGUCCGAUACUGGAAGGCUUGAAUCCGGGAGAGGGAUGCGGAAUUCCAGGUGUAGCGGUGAAAUGCGUAGAUAUCUGGAGGAACACCGGUGGCGUAGGCGGCCUUCUGGACAGUGACUGACGCUGAGACGCGAAAGCGUGGGGAGCAAACAGG
rnacentral:rRNA from 1 species